GAGUUUGAUCAUGGCUCAGAAUGAACGCUGGCGGCACGCUUAACACAUGCAAGUCGAACGAGAUCUUCGGAUCUAGUGGCAGACGGGUGCGUAACGCGUGGGAACCUGCCCUUUAGUAAGGAAUAACUCAGGGAAACUUGUGCUAAUACCUUAUAAUCCCCUCGGGGGAAAGCUUUAUGCGCUAAUAGAUGGGCCCGCGUUAGAUUAGCUUGUUGGCGAGGUAAUGGCUCACCAAGGCUACGAUCUAUAGCUGGUCUGAGAGGAUGAUCAGCCACACUGGGACUGAGACACGGCCCAGACUCCUACGGGAGGCAGCAGUGGGGAAUAUUGGACAAUGGGGGCAACCCUGAUCCAGCGAUGCCGCGUGAGUGAUGAAGGCCCUAGGGUUGUAAAACUCUUUCGCCAGGGAAGAUAAUGACGGUACCUGGUAAAGAAGAUCCGGCUAACUCCGUGCCAGCAGCCGCGGUAAUACGGAGGGAUCUAGCGUUAUUCGGAAUAACUGGGCGUAAAGCGAGCGUAGGCGGAUUUGUAAGUUGGAGGUGAAAUCCCAGGGCUUAACCCUGGAACUGCCUUCAAAACUACAUUUCUUGAGUUUGGUAGAGGAGAGUGGAAUUCCUAGUGUAGAGGUGAAAUUCGUAGAUAUUAGGAGGAACACCAGUGGCGAAGGCGACUCUCUGGGCCAAUACUGACGCUGAGGUUCGAAAGCGUGGGGAGCGAACGGGAUUAGAUACCCCGGUAGUCCACGCAGUAAACGAUGGGUGCUAGAUGUUGGGAACAUUAGUUUUCAGUAUCGCAGCUAACGCGUUAAGCACUCCGCCUGGGAAGUACGGCCGCAAGGCUAAAACUCAAAUGAAUUGACGGGGACCCGCACAAGCGGUGGAUCAUGUGGUUUAAUUCGAAGCAACGCGAAGAACCUUACCGGCUCUUGACAUACCAAUCGCGGAUCUAAGAGAUUAGAUCCUUCACUUCGGGUGGAUUGGAUACAGGUGCUGCAUGGCUGUCGUCAGCUCGUGUCGUGAGAUGUUGGGUUAAGUCCCGCAACGAGCGCAACCCCUACCUUCAAUUGCCAGCACGUUAUGGUGGGAACUUUGAAGGAACUGCCGGUGAUAAGCCGGAGGAAGGUGGGGAUGACGUCAAGUCCUCAUGGCCCUUACGGGCCGGGCUACACACGUGAUACAAUGGUGAUUACAAAGGGCUGCUACAGAGCGAUCUCAAGCAAAUCCUUAAAAGUCAUCUCAGUUCGGAUUGCACUCUGCAACUCGAGUGCAUGAAGUUGGAAUCGCUAGUAAUCGUAGAUCAGCGCGCUACGGUGAAUACGUUCCCGGGUCUUGUACACACCGCCCGUCACACCAUGGGAGUUGGUUUUACCUGAAGCUAGUUCGCUAACCGCAAGGAGGCAGCUAACCACGGUAAGAUUAGCGACUGGGGUGAAGUCGUAACAAGGUAACC
rnacentral:rRNA from 1 species